CCUGACUGCUAUCGGAUUGAUACUAAGCCAUGCGAGUCAUUGUAGCAAUACAAGGCAGACGGCUCAGUAACGCGUAGUCAACCUACCCUAUGGACGGGAAUAAUCUCGGGAAACUGAGAAUAAUGCCCGAUAGAACAUUAUGCCUGGAAUGGUUUAUGUUCCAAAUGAUCUAUCGCCGUAGGAUGGGACUGCGGCCUAUCAGUUUGUUGGUGAGGUAAUGGCCCACCAAGACUAUUACAGGUACGGGCUCUGAGAGGAGUAGCCCGGAGAUGGGUACUGAGACACGGACCCAGGCCCUAUGGGGCGCAGCAGGCGAGAAAACUUUGCAAUGUGCGAAAGCACGACAAGGUUAAUCCGAGUGGUUUCUGCUAAAGGAACCUUUUGUCAGUCCUAGAAACACUGAUGAAUAAGGGGUGGGCAAGUUCUGGUGUCAGCCGCCGCGGUAAAACCAGCACCUCAAGUGGUCAGGAUGAUUAUUGGGCCUAAAGCAUCCGUAGCCGGCUCUGUAAGUUUUCGGUUAAAUCUGUACGCUCAACGUACAGGCUGCCGGGAAUACUGUAGAGCUAGGGAGUGGGAGAGGUAGACGGUACUCGGUAGGAAGGGGUAAAAUCCUUUGAUCUAUUGAUGACCACCUGUGGCGAAGGCGGUCUACCAGAACACGUCCGACGGUGAGGGAUGAAAGCUGGGGGAGCAAACCGGAUUAGAUACCCGGGUAGUCCCAGCUGUAAACUAUGCAAACUCAGUGAUGCAUUGGCUUGUGGCCAAUGCAGUGCUGCAGGGAAGCCGUUAAGUUUGCCGCCUGGGAAGUACGUACGCAAGUAUGAAACUUAAAGGAAUUGGCGGGGGAGCACCCACAGGGGUGAAGCCUGCGNNGUCAUUGGAGUCACGCCAGAAAUCUUACCCGGAGAGACGGCAGAAUGAAGGGUCAGCUGAAGACUUUACCA
rnacentral:rRNA from 1 species